rnacentral:rRNA from 1 species
UACAGAGGUCUCAAGCGUUGUUCGGAUUCAUUGGGCGUAAAGGGUGCGUAGGCGGCGCGGUAAGUCGGGUGUGAAAUCUCGGGGCUUAACUCCGAAACUGCAUUCGAUACUGCCGUGCUUGAGGACUGGAGAGGAGACUGGAAUUUACGGUGUAGCGGUGAAAUGCGUAGAGAUCAUGAGGAAGACCAGUGGCGAAGGCGGGUUUCUGGACAGUUCCUGACACUGAGACACGAAGGCCAGGGGAGCAAACGGG